CGCGGGGUGGAGCAGUUCGGUAGCUCGUUGGGCUCAUAACCCAAAGGUCGCCGGUUCGAGUCCGGCCCCCGCAA
rnacentral:tRNA from 1 species